UACGUAGGGGGCAAGCGUUGUUCGGAAUUACUGGGCGUAAAGGGCGCGUAGGCGGCACAGCAAGUCGGGAGUGAAAGCCCGGGGCUCAACCCCGGAGGGUCUUCCGAAACUGCCGAGCUAGAGUGCGGAAGAGGCAACCGGAAUUCCCAGUGUAGCGGUGAAAUGCGUAGAUAUUGGGAAGAACACCGGAGGCGAAGGCGGGUUGCUGGGCCGACACUGACGCUGAGGCGCGAAAGCCAGGGGAGCAAACGGG
rnacentral:rRNA from 1 species